AGGACUGCUAUUAGUAGCAGAACAUUCUGGGGAGUAGAACAUUCCAGCAAGGGAACAACUUGUGCUUGAAGUGUGGAGGAACUUCCAAAUAUAGCAAGCCGGACACAGUUCCACCACUGAGAAAUACAGGCUGCUCCUUCCUCCUCUUCGAUCUCUCCGACACACCCUCCACAGUCCCACACACGCAGUGUAAGGACGGGUCUCUCACUGCACACAUCACUUAUCAUCACUUGUUAUUACGAAGACGCGGCUUCACUUUGUCAGUCCACGACCUCGCUGCCGGGAUGCAGAGAAUCCCCAGGACCUUCCUAUGAAGGAGUUUAUAGGACAUGCCCCGUUCUCUUGGGACAAGAACAGCAGGAGCAAGUCGGUGUCUAAGGGCAGGACUGAGAGACAGGACGAAGACAGAAACACAGUGUUCUAAGGGCACUUCUGCUCCCACGGCAAGUGGUAAAGUUAUGCCACAAAUCCAGGGUGCCUAGCAUCUGGCACUUACUGAAUGGCCUACAUUGAAUCGUGUUAAACUUAUACUUGAGGAACAGGAUCUGAGACCAAGACACUGAGAGAUGCAGAAACUGAAGUGGAUGCCGGCAAGACACCACGCCAGGAAACCCGCCCUCUGGCAGAAAAGAAAUAGACACGUUUAAGAAUUGUACCUGGCAGUUGCCUGCGCUCCUCGUCAGUAACUUCACGGCCAUCCUGAAUUACUGCAGAUUCAUUCCAUGGAAUGAUAGAGCACUCCUCUAUCAAUGGAUACCAUUUUUAAAAUAAUAAGAAACCUCUUCAGAAAAGACCAUGAGAACAGAUUAAAGGAGUGGAAAAUCAGACCAAACCAGUUGAUUUAUUUGAGAGAGAGCAAGCGAGAGGGAGCAGAAGCUGGGGGAGGAGCAAAGAGAGAGAGAAAAUCUCAAGCAGAUUCCCUGCCUGAGCGAGGAGCCUGCUGACUUAGGGGCUUGAUCUCACAGCCCUGAGAUCAUGACCUGAGCUGAAAUCAAGAGUCAGACACUCAACUGGCUCAGCCACCAGGUACCCCGAAGCUCCUCCUCCUCUCAUUGAACACAGAACUGUUCUCUUUUGCAGACACACCCAGCCUCUAUCACACACACACUAGCAUCUCUGCAAAGCACAGGCAUGAGCUGACGAGCUGCCGAAAGUCCCGAGAUAAGAAGGGCCGUAAAUGCCUGUUCACAGCUCCUCGUGUUUGCUCUCCUGUGAUUUAUAUCCAAUUUAUGACAGCCA